UACGUAGGGUGCAAGCGUUGUCCGGAAUUAUUGGGCGUAAAGAGCUCGUAGGCGGUUUGUUGCGUCGGCUGUGAAAUCCCGAGGCUCAACCUCGGGUCUGCAGUCGAUACGAGCAAACUAGAGUGUUGCAGGGGAGACUGGAAUUCCUGGUGUAGCGGUGAAAUGCGCAGAUAUCAGGAGGAACACCGGUGGCGAAGGCGGGUCUCUGGGCAACAACUGACGCUGAGGAGCGAAGACGUGGGGAGCGAAACAGG
rnacentral:rRNA from 1 species